GGGGACAACAUAUGGAAACGNAUGCUAACACCGAAUAUGCUCUACGGAGUAAAGGUGGCCUCUACUUGUAAGCUAUCGCUAAAGGAUGAGCCCGCGUUAGAUUAGCUAGUUGGUAAGGUAAAGGCUUACCAAGGCGACGAUCUAUAGCUGGUUUGAGAGGAUGAUCAGCCACACUGGGACUGAGACACGGCCCAGACUCCUACGGGAGGCAGCAGUGGGGAAUAUUGCACAAUGAGGGAAACCUUGAUGCAGCCAUGCCGCGUGUGUGAAGAAGGCCCGAGGGUUGUAAAGCACUUUCAAUUGUGAGGAAGAUUAAGUAGCUAAUACCUGCUUAGUUUGACGUUAACUUUAGAAGAAGCACCGGCUAACUCUGUGCCAGCAGCCGCGGUAAUACAGAGGGUGCAAGCGUUAUUCGGAAUUACUGGGCGUAAAGCGCGCGUAGGCGGACUGUUAAGUCGGUUGUGAAAGCCCUGGGCUCAACCUAGGAACUGCAUCCGAUACUGGCAAUCUAGAGUUUAAGAGAGGGAAGUGGAAUUCCAGGUGUAGCAGUGAAAUGCGUAGAUAUCUGGAGGAACAUCAGUGGCGAAGGCGACUUCCUGGCUUAAAACUGACGCUGAGGUGCGAAAGCU
rnacentral:rRNA from 1 species